rnacentral:lncRNA from 10 species
GACGUGAGCCACUGUGCCCGGCCUCUCUCUCUCUCUCUCUCCCCACUCCCCCCACCCCCACCCCCACCCCCCAUCCCCCCAACCUUUCUGUCUUUAAAUGUAGCUCUAAGGCCACUAGUUUGUUAUUCACAACAGGCCGGCCCUUUCAUGCAUGGGAUAUGGUGGUGGUUUCCUCAGUAAUGUAGGACUCUGGCUCUGUUAGAAGCGACUGUUGUCUUAGACAGAAAUGGCACAGGAAAGUAGGUUUGUAAGUCAGAGAUCACAUGAUAUCAGAAAAUGAAAGGAGAUUUCAUUUUAGCCCCCAGGAGGGACCCACACACAGGACAAACAUCCACUCUUUUGUAGCCCAUGCCGCUCUGCACAGGAGGGUCACCCCCUAAGCCUCACCCAGAAGCUCCUCCAAACCUCUUGUCACUGUAGUGGAGAGGAGAGGACCUUUCCUCCCGCUUCCAGCUGCCCUUCAUCUCACUCCCAGACAGAUAAGAGGGCUGAGGACUGGUAGGAGUGAAUGACAAGGACAGAGGGCUGAGGGCUGUGGAUGCCACCUUCCUGGGCUGUCACCCCUGGCCUGGUGUUGGUAUCUGAAAAGGGGGGAGCGGGCUGGCAGUGACAGACAAAGUGGUGAGUGCAGGGGAAUAGGCCCAAUCUGCGACCCACGGUCCUCCCUCUCCUCCCCUCUACACCUGUCCUCCUGCUUCUCUUUCUCUGUAGAGUGAAACCCAAUUCCAAACGUUAACAGAGUCUGGAAAAGGCAUCCAAGUAAAAAAGUGCAAAAGUUGAAAAUAGCCUUCCACGUUAUAAGGGAGGUUCCACUCCCAGAAAGAUAAUGACGACUAUAAAAUUCCAAAUGGCACUCUGCCCACUAGCCACAUUCUUCAAUAACACGGUCUUAGCAGUUUCACGUGUUAUUUACAGGUGAAGAGGCAGUAGAUCUUUUUUCCCACUGAGGUCUCAUUGAGGAUAUAGAUAGGCUGCUUCGGAUACUACUGGUAAUUUUAAUUGUUUCAGUUUCAUAAAAUGUAUGAGACUACACUUCUUAUCACAAAUAUCGUUACUUCACUUCUUUCACUUAGAGAGAGAGGAAGAGGGGUGGAAUAAAAGAACAAAGGCAGUGCAAUAAAAUACUCAAAAUAGCUGUAAGACAAAUAUUGCUCAACAAAGUUGGUGGCAGCACAGAAACAGACCCACUGGCUGGUAGGCAGCAGCACUAUGAGAGGGUUUGAUGUAUUCGCUCAUUCACAAAGCCUGCCUUUGUCAUGUAAUAGGCACUUAGGGGAAUCCAGAGCUUGUCUGGAAUAGGGGGAUGCGUCCUGCAAACAGAAGCAGUUCCAGACCCUGCAGGUUGGCUAGCCAAAGCCCAGCUAACUCCCAUCAGGUGUACCUUCCUGAGCUGCACAGACGGAAAACCACAAACUGCUUUUUCAGACUUCCUUGCAGGUCUGCCAAGCAGAGCACCUGUGUGAAACUCAGAAGCUGCAGCUGGGAAGGUGGGCAUGGGCCGUAUGGGGUAGAGCUUGCUGGGAGAUCUGAUUGGGGUAGCUCUGAGGGAGGCUCCACUGCCCGGUUCCUAAUGUCACAGGUGUGGGCAAGCACCUGCUGCGGAAACUCAGCACUCUUAACUACAUUGUUCCUGGCUAUUAGCCACCCACCUGUUUCCCUAUCCGUCCCAGAAAUUCUGUACAUUCUUUAAUUCUUCCCUGUAAUCAGUGCUUUUCUGCUUUGUUGUCUGUACUUGGAACACUUACCAAGAAAUUAACCAAAUCAGAGAUACUCAGCAUGGGCUUGAGGAAGAUGUGUUUUGACAUCAUUUUCUCCAAAUCUCUCGAAGUUUGUGACAAGUCUUUUUCUGCUACACUUUCUUCUAGUUCCUGUUCACAGUUUUGACCUCUUCCUCCAUUUUCUCUGAUGUUUAGCUGAUUUUUACCGUCUGUUCCAUCAUCCAGUUCUCCAAGGUGUUCAUUUUGACAUCCAGCCUGACACUUCCUUCGCACUUUUGUGGCACCUCUAGCACUGCCACUUGCUUGGUUUUUGACAGCUGGUACCAUCAACAAACAAAUGCUGUAGCUGAUGCAUGUUGUAAAAGUCUGCAUGAACUCUGUUCUUCAGUGCUGCAAUUUCUGAUGUGAACAGCACCAUCAGCUUUACACAGAACAAUACUCAGUGUGGCAUAUGUACUUUUAUUAUGCAAAAGAGCGGAUGGCAGGACGUUUGAAUAUAGGGAAGUUGAAAGUCACCUGGAAAUGCUUCAUGCAAAUAGCACUAACUAGGAAGAGAAGGCACCUGUGCUAAGAAAGGGAUGUGAAGCGGCCAGUCCAGGAUUUGCAGCCUUGUUUGUGUGUUACUAUAGAAUCGCCUGGGCUCUUUUAAAAAAUAUUUAUUUAUUUAUUUAUUUAUUUAUUUAUUUAGAGACGGAGUCUCUCUCUUGCCCAGGCUGGAGCGCAGUGGCGCAAUCUCAGCUCACUGCAACCUCUGCCUCCAGGGUUCAAGCGAUUCUCCUGCCUCAGCCUCCUGAGUAGCUGGGAUUACAGGCGAGUGCCACCAUGCCUGGCUAAUUUUUUUUUUAUCUUUAGUAGAGGUGGGGCUUCACUAUGUUGGCCAGGCUGGUCUUGAACUCCUGACCUCAGGUGAUCCGCCUGCCUCAGCCUCUCAAAGUGCUGGGAUUACAGGUGUGAG